rnacentral:rRNA from 1 species
GUGUCAGCCGCCGUGGUAAUACAGAGGGUGCGAGCGUUAAUCGGAUUUACUGGGCGUAAAGCGUGCGUAGGCGGCCAAUUAAGUCAAAUGUGAAAUCCCCGAGCUUAACUUGGGUAUUGCAUUCGAUACUGGUUGGCUAGAGUAUGGGAGAGGAUGGUAGAAUUCCAGGUGUAGCGGUGAAAUGCGUAGAGAUCUGGAGGAAUACCGAUGGCGAAGGCAGCCAUCUGGCCUAAUACUGACGCUGAGGUACGAAAGCAUGGGGAGCAAACAGGAUUAGAAACCCCCGUAGUCC